GUUCAUCUCUGGAAUUUGCUACGCCCCCUGGUUUCAAAACACUUAAAGGCUUCAUAUAUAUGCGGGCAUGGUGUUGCUUAUAAGAGAGAGAUACCACAUUUACUGCUAAGCAAUCAGCUUCAUAUAUAUGCGGGCAUGGUGUUGCUUAUAAGAGAGAGAUACCACAUUUACUGCUAAGCAAUCAGGUAAAUUGAGUGGUUUCCAUAAAAGUGAACUGAUUGAUGACAUUGUGAUGAUGCUUUGGUUCUAUCCUAGAGGGCAAACAUACAUAACUUCGACACUGCAUGGAACUAUUAAUGUACAGCUUUAUAUUGAUCGGACUUUGACAAAUAACUUGACAUUGAGCUUGCGUGACUUAAUCACGCAAUAUGCAAAUCGUCGUAAUGCCUUACACAUUAUAAUAAAUGACCAUGCAUUAAAAGGGUAUAGACAAACACUGCUUCAAGAUCAAGGUUAAUCUUGAAGGUAAAACGUUUAAACCUUCAUCCUUAUUUUCUACACCUUUAGAAGACUAGAAGUCUUUAAAUAAAACAUGGAUUAUAUAUUAAGUACCCUGCGACGAUGUACACACGUCAUGAGUCACGCUAUCUCAAGGUCAAGUUAAACCGGAGUUUCAAUAGUUUUAACCUCUUUGUUUGUGUCAGCUCCAUAUUUUUUAUGCCUUUUGAAGAAUUUGUUUGACACUUGGACAACACGUUUCGUUAAGUGAGAAAAUUUAAAGAUUACAUGGGUUGUGUGUAAUAGUUAAUAUCACACUGGCAGAUAAAUAAGUGAACAUCCAAUUUGUAUGGUCGGUGGUAAAUAUCCAAUACAAAUAGAAGGAUGUAAAUGAAAAGUUAUUUACCAGAUUUAUGAAAAACAACAUCAAUGAUAUCCGUCCCAUUCUCAUUGUUACCUCAUAAAAUUAAACAAAAUGAUAUUGUGGUUAUAGAUAUCUCUUUGACUGAUGGGCACCAUCAAAGUUUCACAAAUGCUUCAAGUAUUG